rnacentral:lncRNA from 1 species
GACGAUGAUGCCUUCUCUCUCCCGUCUCCAGAUAAGCCUCUUUCUUCUGUUUUCGUUUUUAGGGUUUUUGAGAAUAUUGAUGUGUUCUUGCUGUGUUGUUCUGGUUUAAGAAAAAAAAUACUUCUCUGUAAUCUCGUGUGGGUUUUCUAGGGUUUUCAGAAAAAUUUUGUAUUGUUCUUGAUGUGUGUCUUAGGUUUUUUAGAAAAAAUCUCUUGUUGUGUAUAUGUUGUUGUCUUCAGCUGUUGUUGUUGUUAUGUUCUUUAGGGUUUUUG